rnacentral:rRNA from 1 species
GACGAACGCUGGCGGCGUGCCUAAUACAUGCAAGUCGAACGCAGUGGGGACGGGUGAGUAACACGUGGGUAACCUCCCAUCAGAGGGGAUAACACUUGGAAACAGGUGCUAAACCGAUACUGAUGGAUGGACCCGCGGUGCAUUAGCUAGUUGGUGAGGUAACGGCUCACCAAGGCCACGAUGCCUAGCCGACCUGAGAGGGUGAUUGGCCAAACUGGGACUGAGACACGGCCCAGACUCCUACGGGGGGCAGCAGGGGGGAAUCUUCGGCAAAGGACGAAAGGCUGAACCAGGAACGCCGCGGUAGUGAAGAAGGGUUUCGGAUUGUAAAACUCUUUUGUUAGAGAAGCGGUAUCUAACCAGAAAGCCACGGCUAACUACGUGCCAGCAGCCGCGGUAAUUC